UACGGAGGGUGCAAGCGUUAUCCGGAAUCAUUGGGUUUAAAGGGUCCGUAGGCGGUCAUAUAAGUCAGUGGUGAAAGCCUACAGCUCAACUGUAGAACUGCCAUUGAUACUGUAUGACUUGAAUUCGAUCGAAGUGGGCGGAAUAUGACAUGUAGCGGUGAAAUGCUUAGAUAUGUCAUAGAACACCGAUAGCGAAGGCAGCUCACUAGGUCUGGAUUGACGCUCAGGGACGAAAGCGUGGGGAGCAAACAGG
rnacentral:rRNA from 1 species